GGACCCCGGAGGGUCCGAACUGUCUCAGCGGAGAAAGGGGACAUAGUGUGCUGGCGGGCGCUGGCUGUUGGCGUUAGAGCUCCGGCUGUGGCUCAGUCUGGGGCGCGGUUCUUGCCAACACACCAUGUCCAGAGACAGCUGACAAAAAAACUAAAUUGAAACCAGCUCUGGAUGGGAUAACAACACAGGGUCAUACUUACUUUACGGCAGGCACGUUAUUCGCCUUCUUACUCGCACUUACCGCUAUGGAUUCGCUCUUCAGGGGGCACUGAGACAUCCUACAGUGCCCUGGACGGCCCACCCCAACCAUGGUAUCCGUUGUCCAACAGUUUUGGAUACCCCAGAAUCGUCUCCCCGUUCCCCCUCUACAGCAUGGUGCACUACCCCUUCCUUACCUUAAUGAUCUACUCUUCCAUAGCGAAAUGAGAAUACUAAGCCAAGUGGAAUUUCAUUUCUACGUUAUAAAAGAAAAGUGCCUUUGUUGCGUCUGUCAGAUCGCCGGACUGGAAUGCUUCGACGACGGCUCCCCUGGAUAGCAAGACAAUUUGGUAGCGGAGGUGCCCUGGAUCUCCCUUUUUAUGUUCUUGCCAACCUGCAGGGACAACAUUAAACGACCAAAGGGUCUUUUAUUUAAAGUGUAUUCCUAGUGCCCUAGAAUGAGCUCACCCUACUUCCUAGGUUGUAUCGUCCGUUCAAUCACCGGACUGCAGAUAUGAAACCCAAUGUCUACCCUGUUUGCUGCCUAAGUUAUUCUGUUUUCUUUUUUUUUUUAUUUCUUAUAUUUUUAUUCCAGGAUGUGUGUCAAGCUAAGUUUCUCUGUGUAUCGUUCUAAGUAUUGAACAUAUAAAAAGGAGCAUACAUCGGCCUACCUUGGCACCUACGGGCUGCUGGUGCAAAAUUCCCUCGGGGACACUGGAGCAGAUGGCGGCGGUGGAACCAAUGAUGAAGCUGGAGAUGCUGAUGAGAUGAUGAUGUUGUUGAGGAUGGAAAUGUUGACGUUGCCGUGGAUGACGAUGGUUAAAAUUGCAGUAGAGGUGGGUAUUUAUUAUUUGACAAAAAGUUUUUGUUGUUCUGUUUAGUCUUUGCUAUGUUUUAUUCGUGGCUCAAAUUAACGUUCUUUUUCAAAGCUUUUUAUAUUUCACAGGAUCUUUUUUCCUUAGCAUUAAUUAGCACUAAUAAGUUUAUUUAGCUUUAAGUUGAUCUAAAGUAACUUCAGCUUUUUUACUACAAAAGCUAGUCUUUAUUCCUUUCACAAAAAAAAGGAACAUUUAUUUGCUUUUAAAUAAAAAACUUUAUGCCUUCGGCAUCACAUA